UUCUACUUGUAACUGAAUUUUCUGAGUGAUUGUAUAUAUUGACGUGGUGAAAUUGCAUAAACAAUUGUGUGUACUUUAAAGAAUUGUUUAGGAUGGGUAUUAGUUUGAUUACUUCUAUGUUUAGAAUGAAUGGGCCAAGGUGAAGAGAGAGUUGAAGGAAAAAGAAGAGCUUGUCAAACUGCUGAAGUUGGAAAUUAUGGAUAUAAGACAAGUUACUAUGAUGCAAGUUGAAGAGAUAUGUCAAGAGUUAGAGGUUGCCCGAAAAGAAGCUGAGCAUGCUCAAAAUGAUGCUGACAUUGCCCAGCUCUUAAAUCUAAGAUAGUCAAAAUGUUUCUUCAUAUUUGGCUUUGAGAGAGAAUGAAUAGAUUAAAGCGAAGAGUUGCAAGAAAAGCUUGAGCUCGUGCAGUUGCUAAAGGUGGAAUGUCAGGAGACUAGUGGAAGUGCCAUGAGACAAGUUGAAGAAAAAGAACUAAAGUUAGCUGAUAUCCUUAAUGCUGCCAAAGCUGCAUCAUCGAGUUCUGCUGUUGCCGGGGAUUGUGUAAUUUGUCUGACCAAUGAAAUAAAUGGACAUGGCCUUUGGAUGCGGACAGAUGGUAAUAACUCUUACCCGAAAGACAUGAGAAUGAUGAUUAUUAUGUGACUCUUAUACAGACUCGUGAAGAAUGUGGGAUGAUGCUGUCUACGUGUCCUAUGUGUCAGGAGGAGAUGAUCCAUCGAAUCAAACUGUUUCCUGGAUGACAAUGGGGUAUUUUAGUGUGCUUUGGAGAUGAUGCAAUGUGGAUGGACUGUGUUUUUCCUUCGGAUCAGAAGGAUACAAGCCAAAAGAUGGUAAAUGUAAAUAAUGGAAUCCGAAAGAAUGCAACCUAGCAAGACUUAUUUUAGCUGUUAACAAACAUGUCUCAAAUGUGAUCUCCUCAUAAGACUUUUUUUCUGCUCCUCAUGUGCCUGCAAUCAUUUGCUUCUUGAAGUCUUUGGGUGACCCCAAAGGAAAAUGCAUGCAUUAAUGUUAUGUAAUGGAAUGUAGUGAGUAAAGAGAACUUUACUUUCCGAAUUUU